GUGCCAGCAGCCGCGGUAAUACGUAGGUGGCAAGCGUUAUCCGGAAUUAUUGGGCGUAAAGCGCGCGUAGGCGGUUUUUUAAGUCUGAUGUGAAAGCCCACGGCUCAACCGUGGAGGGUCAUUGGAAACUGGAAAACUUGAGUGCAGAAGAGGAAAGUGGAAUUCCAUGUGUAGCGGUGAAAUGCGCAGGGAUAUGGAGGAACACCAGUGGCGCAGGCGACUUUCUGGUCUGUAACUGACGCUGAUGUGCGAAAGCGUGGGGAUCAAACAGGA
rnacentral:rRNA from 1 species